CCGAGUUUACAACUCCCAAACCCCUGUGAACAUACCACUUGUUGCCUCGGCGGAUCAGCCCGCUCCCGGUAAAACGGGACGGCCCGCCAGAGGACCCCUAAACUCUAUUUCUAUAUGUAACUUCUGAGUAAAACCAUAAAUAAAUCA
rnacentral:misc_RNA from 1 species